rnacentral:rRNA from 1 species
UAACCUGCCUGGUAGCGGGGGAUAACUAUUGGAAACGAUAGCUAAUGCCGCAUAACAUUGACUAUUGCAUGAUAGUCAAUUGAAAGGUGCAAAUGCACCACUACCAGAUGGACCUGCGUUGUAUUAGCUAGUUGGUGGGGUAACGGCUCACCAAGGCGACGAUACAUAGCCGACCUGAGAGGGUGAUCGGCCACACUGGGACUGAGACACGGCCCAG